rnacentral:tRNA from 1 species
GGUGGUUUAGUGGUAGAAUACUUGCCUUGCAUGCAUGAGGCCCUGGGUUCAAUUCCUCAGCACCA